rnacentral:rRNA from 1 species
UACGUAGGGAGCAAGCGUUGACCGGAAUCCUUGGGCGUAAAGCGCGCGUAGGCGGCCCUGUAAGUCCGCUGUGAAAGUCAAAGGCUCAACCUUUGAAAGCCGGUGGAUACUGCAGGGCUAGAGUCCGGAAGAGGCGAGUGGAAUUCCUGGUGUAGCGGUGGAAUGCGCAGAUAUCAGGAGGAACACCAAUAGCGAAGGCAGCUCGCUGGGACGGUACUGACGCUAAGGCGCGAAAGCGUGGGGAGCGAACAGG